GGUUAAGUGACUAAGCGUACACGGUGGAUGCCUAGGCAGUCAGAGGCGAUGAAGGACGUACUAACUUGCGAUAAGCGCAGAUAAGGCAGUAAGAGCCGUUUGAGUCUGCGAUUUCCGAAUGGGGAAACCCAACUGCACAAGCAGUUACUGUUAACUGAAUACAUAGGUUAACAGAGCAAACCGGGGGAACUGAAACAUCUAAGUACCCCGAGGAGAAGAAAUCAACCGAGAUUCCGGUAGUAGCGGCGAGCGAACCUGGAUUAGCCCUUAAGCACUCGUUGAAGUAGGUGAACAAGCUGGAAAGCUUGGCGAUACAGGGUGAUAGCCCCGUAACCGACGCUUCAUCGAGCGUGAAAUCGAGUAGGGCGGGACACGUGAUAUCCUGUCUGAAUAUGGGGGACCAUCCUCCAAGGCUAAAUACUCCUGACUGACCGAUAGUGAACCAGUACCGUGAGGGAAAGGCGAAAAGAACCCCUGUGAGGGGAGUGAAAUAGAACCUGAAACCGUGUACGUACAAGCAGUAGGAGCACCUUCGUGGUGUGACUGCGUACCUUUUGUAUAAUGGGUCAGCGACUUAUAUUCAGUGGCAAGGUUAACCGUAUAGGGGAGCCGUAGCGAAAGCGAGUCUUAACUGGGCGCUCAGUCUCUGGAUAUAGACCCGAAACCGGGUGAUCUAGCCAUGGGCAGGUUGAAGGUUGAGUAACAUCAACUGGAGGACCGAACCGACUAAUGUUGAAAAAUUAGCGGAUGACUUGUGGCUAGGGGUGAAAGGCCAAUCAAACUCGGAGAUAGCUGGUUCUCCCCGAAAGCUAUUUAGGUAGCGCCUCGGACGAAUACUACUGGGGGUAGAGCACUGUUAAGGCUAGGGGGUCAUCCCGACUUACCAACCCUUUGCAAACUCCGAAUACCAGUAAGUACUAUCCGGGAGACACACGGCGGGUGCUAACGUCCGUCGUGGAGAGGGAAACAACCCAGACCGCCAGCUAAGGUCCCAAAGUAUUGCUAAGUGGGAAACGAUGUGGGAAGGCUCAGACAGCUAGGAUGUUGGCUUAGAAGCAGCCAUCAUUUAAAGAAAGCGUAAUAGCUCACUAGUCGAGUCGGCCUGCGCGGAAGAUGUAACGGGGCUAAGCAAUACACCGAAGCUGCGGCAAUGCCUUUUAGGUAUUGGGUAGGGGAGCGUUCUGUAAGCCGUUGAAGGUGGUCUGUAAGGGCUGCUGGAGGUAUCAGAAGUGCGAAUGCUGACAUGAGUAACGACAAAGGGGGUGAAAAACCUCCUCGCCGGAAGACCAAGGGUUCCUGUCCAACGUUAAUCGGGGCAGGGUGAGUCGACCCCUAAGGUGAGGCCGAAAGGCGUAAUCGAUGGGAAACGGGUUAAUAUUCCCGUACUUCUGACUAUUGCGAUGGGGGACGGAGAAGGCUAGGUGGGCCAGGCGACGGUUGUCCUGGUUCAAGUGCGUAGGCUUAAGAGUUAGGUAAAUCCGGCUCUUUCUAAGGCUGAGACACGACGUCGAGCUGCUACGGCAGUGAAGUCAUUGAUGCCAUGCUUCCAGGAAAAGCCUCUAAGCUUCAGAUAGUCAGGAAUCGUACCCCAAACCGACACAGGUGGUCGGGUAGAGAAUACCAAGGCGCUUGAGAGAACUCGGGUGAAGGAACUAGGCAAAAUGGUACCGUAACUUCGGGAGAAGGUACGCUCUUGAUGGUGAAGUCCCUUGCGGAUGGAGCUGACGAGAGUCGCAGAUACCAGGUGGCUGCAACUGUUUAUUAAAAACACAGCACUGUGCAAAAUCGCAAGAUGACGUAUACGGUGUGACGCCUGCCCGGUGCCGGAAGGUUAAUUGAUGGGGUUAGCGCAAGCGAAGCUCUUGAUCGAAGCCCCGGUAAACGGCGGCCGUAACUAUAACGGUCCUAAGGUAGCGAAAUUCCUUGUCGGGUAAGUUCCGACCUGCACGAAUGGCGUAAUGAUGGCCACGCUGUCUCCACCCGAGACUCAGUGAAAUUGAAAUCGCUGUGAAGAUGCAGUGUACCCGCGGCUAGACGGAAAGACCCCGUGAACCUUUACUACAGCUUGGCACUGAACAUUGAACCUACAUGUGUAGGAUAGGUGGGAGGCUAUGAAGACGUGACGCUAGUUGCGUUGGAGCCGUCCUUGAAAUACCACCCUUGUAUGUUUGAUGUUCUAACUUAGACCCGUUAUCCGGGUUGAGGACAGUGCCUGGUGGGUAGUUUGACUGGGGCGGUCUCCUCCCAAAGAGUAACGGAGGAGCACGAAGGUGGGCUAAUCACGGUUGGACAUCGUGAGGUUAGUGCAAUGGCAUAAGCCCGCUUAACUGCGAGAAUGACGGUUCGAGCAGGUGCGAAAGCAGGUCAUAGUGAUCCGGUGGUUCUGUAUGGAAGGGCCAUCGCUCAACGGAUAAAAGGUACUCCGGGGAUAACAGGCUGAUACCGCCCAAGAGUUCAUAUCGACGGCGGUGUUUGGCACCUCGAUGUCGGCUCAUCACAUCCUGGGGCUGAAGUCGGUCCCAAGGGUAUGGCUGUUCGCCAUUUAAAGUGGUACGCGAGCUGGGUUUAGAACGUCGUGAGACAGUUCGGUCCCUAUCUGCCGUGGGCGUUGGAAGAUUGAAGGGGGCUGCUCCUAGUACGAGAGGACCGGAGUGGACGAACCUCUGGUGUUCGGGUUGUGUCGCCAGACGCAUUGCCCGGUAGCUAAGUUCGGAAUUGAUAAGCGCUGAAAGCAUCUAAGCGCGAAGCGAGCCCUGAGAUGAGUCUUCCCUGACGGUUUAACCGUCCUAAAGGGUUGUUCGAGACUAGAACGUUGAUAGGCAGGGUGUGUAAGCGUUGUGAGGCGUUGAGCUAACCUGUACUAAUUGCCCGUGAGGCUUAACCAU
rnacentral:rRNA from 1 species